UACGGAGGGUGCGAGCGUUGUCCGGAAUCACUGGGCGUAAAGGGCGCGUAGGCGGCUCAUGAAGGCUGUGGUGAAAGUCCGGGGCUCAACCUCGGAUCGGCCCGUGGCGACUCGUGGGCUGGAGCACUGUAGAGGCGGGUGGAAUUCCGGGUGUAGCGGUGGAAUGCGUAGAGAUCCGGAAGAACACCGGUGGCGAAGGCGGCCUGCUGGGCAGUUAGCUGACACUGAGGCGCGACAGCGUGGGGAGCAAACAGG
rnacentral:rRNA from 1 species